AGUAAGUGAAUUUGUUAAAAUAUAUGCCUUGAAAGCAUAAAAAAGAGGUAGACUCCUCUACUUACUU
rnacentral:tRNA from 1 species